UAGUUCUGAGUUGGCAUAGAGUAGUACUAUGUAAAAUUUUUCUCCAUAGUACGACCCAUGCCGGCCCAGUGAAA